rnacentral:rRNA from 1 species
GACGAACGCUGGCGGCGUGCUUAACACAUGCAAGUCGAACGGAAAGGCCCCUUUGGGGGUCCUCGAGUGGCGAACGGGUGAGUAACACGUGAGUAACCUGCCCUUGACUUCGGGAUAACUUCAGGAAACUGGGGCUAAUACCGGAUAGGAAUCCUUGCUGCAUGGUUGGGGUUGGAAAGCUUCGGCGGUUUUGGAUGGACUCGCGGGUUAUCAGCUUGUUGGUGGGGUAGUGGCUUACCAAGGCGUUGACGGGUAGCCGGCCUGAGAGGGCGACCGGCCACAUUGGGACUGAGAUACGGCCCAGACUCCUACGGGAGGCAGCAGUGGGGAAUAUUGCCCAAUGGGCGGAAGCCUGAUGCAGCAAAGCCGCGUGCGUGAUGACGGCCCUCGGGUUGUAAACCGCUUUCAGCAGGGGCGAAGCUUGUGGUGACGGUACCUGAAGAAGAAGCACCGGCUAACUACGUG